rnacentral:rRNA from 1 species
GAUGAACGCUGGCGGCGCGCCUAAUACAUGCAAGUAGAACGCUGAAGGAAGGAGCUUGCUCUUUCCGGAUGAGUUGCGAACGGGUGAGUAACGCGUAGGUAACCUGCCUGGUAGCGGGGGAUAACUAUUGGAAACGAUAGCUAAUACCGCAUAACAGUAGAUGUUGCAUGAUAUCUACUUAAAAGGUGCAAUUGCACCACUACCAGAUGGACCUGCGUUGUAUUAGCUAGUUGGUGAGGUAACGGCUCACCAAGGCGACGAUACAUAGCCGACCUGAGAGGGUGAUCGGCCACACUGGGACUGAGACACGGCCCAGACUCCUACGGGAGGCAGCAGUAGGGAAUCUUCGGCAAUGGACGGAAGUCUGACCGAGCAACGCCGCGUGAGUGAAGAAGGUUUUCGGAUCGUAAAGCUCUGUUGUAAGAGAAGAACGAGUGUGAGAGUGGAAAGUUCACACUGUGACGGUAUCUUACCAGAAAGGGACGGCUAACUACGUG